GAAGCGGCAGCCGCGCACGGCCGUGGGUGAGCGCACCUGGGCACAGUCACAUCUCACAGCAGACACCAAAGAAAAUGUAUUUUAAUAAAAGGAGUGAGAAGAAGCUGAGAAGCAAGAAGAUGAUGAUCAGGAGCUCUCUCUAAGGCUGUAACCUAGGAGACCAAGAGAAGAAAGAUAAGAGAUGACCGCCUCAACAGCAACAUUGGCUUCUGAUUGUGAUAACGUGAAUUAUUACAUCUGUAUUGUCUCUCCCUUCAUGUGAGAGUGAAAAUGGAGCACAAGUUUUUGAAACACCUCUCAGCUGCCCCAUCUCUGGGUCAGAAAAGGACCUGAUCCAACAGAAAUGAAGCAGCAGCAGCAGCAGGGACCCCUCUGACCUGGAAGUUGGUGAGCUCCGAGUUCUUCUGCUUCAGGAUGUCGGUCAUGUAAUCGAUCAGGUGCAGCCCAAA